GGGGUGGUGGCUCAGUGGAAGAGCCUCUGCUUUGGGUGCAGAAGGUCCCAGGUUCAAUCCCUGGUAUCUCCA